ACCUUAUCGGUACUCGCGAAUGCAUCUCGAUUAGNUUAUGAUCAUGGCUCAGAAUCAACGCUGGCGGUCGUGCCUAACACAUGCAAGUCGAACGCGAAAGGGGCUUUGGCCCUGAGUAGAGUGGCGUCCGGGUGAGUAACGCGUGGGUAGUCUACCUUCGGGUGGGGAAUAACUCAGGGAAACUUGAGCUAAUACCGCAUAAUGCAGCGGCUCGACAUCGAGACAGUUGUUAAAGCCCUUCGCAAGAAGGGCGCCUGAAGAGGAGCCUGCGUCUGAUUAGCUAGUUGGUGAGGUAAUGGCCCACCAAGGCUACGAUCAGUAGCUGGUCUGAGAGGACGGCCAGCCACAAUGGCACUGAAACACGGGCCAUACUCCUACGGGGAGGCAGCCAGUUGGGGAAUUUUGCCGCAAUGGGCGAAAGCCUGACGGCAGCAACGCCGCGUGAACGGAUGAAAUUCCUUCGGGGAUGUAAACUUCGGUAAGCAUGGGGAAGAAAACNAUGACGGUACCAUGCGUAAGCCCCGGUAACUCCGUAGCCAACAGCGCCGGGUAAUACGGGGGGGGGCCAGCGGUUGAACCGGAAUUACUUGGGCCGUAAAGAGGCGCGUAGCGGGGU
rnacentral:rRNA from 1 species